rfam:Schistosoma mansoni strain Puerto Rico chromosome 4, complete genome
AGCGUUCUGAAUCCACGCAGAGAUUUCGUCAGACACCAACCCAUUAGGGCUGAUCAGACUUCCAAGAUAAGUGAAGUU